rnacentral:rRNA from 1 species
CAAGACGGAAAGACCCCGUGAACCUUUACUAUAGCUUGACACUGAACAUUGAGCCUUGAUGUGUAGGAUAGGUGGGAGGCUUUGAAGCGUGGACGCCAGUCUGCGUGGAGCCAUCCUUGAAAUACCACCCUUUAAUGUUUGAUGUUCUAACUCGGCCCCGUAAUCCGGGGUGAGGACAGUGUCUGGUGGGUAGUUUGACUGGGGCGGUCUCCUCCCAAAGAGUAACGGAGGAGCACGAAGGUUAGCUAAUCACGGUCGGACAUCGUGAGGUUAGUGCAAAGGCAUAA